rnacentral:sRNA from 1 species
GCCAGGCAAGGUGGCACAUGCCUGUAGUUCCAGCUACUCAGGAGGCUGAGUCAGGAAGACUGCUUGAGCCCAAGAGUUAAGGGCCAACCUGGGCAAUAUAAUGAAACCUCCUCUCUU